rnacentral:sRNA from 1 species
UACCUCCGAUAUCACCGCCCACGCCCUUUUGGGAGUUUUAGUAUUGAGCGGGUUCACCACUUUUUCGCGACGAUAUUUGUGUUUGUUGUAACUCACCAAAACACUCCCCCGCAUUGCAACCAGAGCUCCUUCACCGCCGCUGCUGCCUCCUGAGGUGAGAUUGCGGUUGUGGGGAUUGACAGUCCUGCCGUAUAUAUUGCUUGUGCAUUCCAGAUGCAUAAGGAGCUGGGGGCCGGUGGUCCGAACAUAGAACACACAGCCGGCAUCAUAAAGCGUAUCAUUCAGAAACCCUUCAUCUGAGGGAUGGUCGAUCCAGCUGACGGUGGAGGCGUUGCAUUUCUUACCUUUCAUACCAUGAUGCUCUUUGAUGGAGAUCGGUAGCCCAUGAAGAGGCCCUAUAGGUUGGGUUAGGGAAUCGAGAUAUUUCGCUCGCGCAAUAGCCUCAUCCCACAUAAGUUCCGUAACACAGUUAACCUAUUUUCAAGACAAGGAUUGAUCAGCGACACCGCAGCACCACGUACUAUAUAUAUAGUACGAAGGGGAGAAGGGCAAUGGAGUGAGGGAGGACACGAACUGCAUAUUGAGCAACGGCAGCUCUGCGGAGGAAUGCUCUGGUUAGUUCUUCGGAGGUAAUCUCCCUGGCGCGUAGCAUACGUAGAAGCGCAAUGGCGUCGUAAUUCUGGGUGAGGUCAUGUUCGCGAGCCGUGAGGAGUUGCUUGGCCAGGUCUAUUGAGCUCAACGGCAGCGGAUCAGGCAACGGGGCAAGUGGAGGGUCGACCCUGGCGAGAGUCGCAUCGCGGUAAUCGCGAACUGUCCGGGCCUUCUCCUCCCAAGAUUCAAUCGCCAUUGCAAGUAACUUUUUUAUGCUAUUAAAUUAUGGCUCUGGGGUAUACACACACUCGGAUAAUGUGUGUUUAGUGGUUUGGGUAAGUGAAUCGAAUACCCAUUUACGACACUAUGCAGAACG